AUUGAACGCUGGCGGCAGGCCUAACACAUGCAAGUCGAACGAAGCACUUUAAAUAGAUUUCUUCGGAAUGAAGUUUUUUGUGACUUAGUGGCGGACGGGUGAGUAACGCGUGGGUAACCUGCCCAGUACUGGGGGACAACAGUUGGAAACGACUGCUAAUACCGCAUAAGCCUACGGUGUCGCAUGACACAGUAGGAAAAAUUCCGGUGGUACUGGAGGGGCCCGCGUCUGAUUAGCUAGUUGGUAAGGUAAUGGCUUACCACGGCGACGAUCAGUAGCCGGCUUGGGAGAGUGAAAGGCCACAUUGGGACUGAGACACGGCCCAAACUCCUACGGGAGGCAGCAGUGGGGAAUAUUGCACAAUGGGGGAAACCCUGAUGCAGCAACGCCGCGGGAGUGAAGAAGUAUUUCGGUAUGUAAAGCUCUAUCAGCAGGGAAGAUAAUGACGGUACCUGACUAAGAAGCACCGGCUAAAUACGUGCCAGCCGCCGCCGUAA
rnacentral:rRNA from 1 species